UCUCCACACUGCUCUAAACACCGAGCAUUCAAACUGCCAGUCCAGUCUACAACAACUGAACAAUGUGUUCAUCAUUUACUAUCUCACUCUUCCUCUCAGCUCUCUGGAGUCAGGUUUCUCUGGGGAUCAUCACAGUAGAUCAGUCUCCUCCGGUCAUCUCCGUCCAGCCUCACGACACUGUGAAGAUUCUUUGUCGAGCUUCACAGGACAUUCAUGAUGACAUGGAGCUGUAUCAGCUUAAACCUGGACAGGCUCCUAAACAUCUGAUUCACGACAGUACUAGCAGAAUGUCUGGUGUUCCUGACAGAUUCAGUGGCACAUAUACAGCAGCUCUGACAACCUUCACCAUCUCAGGUGUUCAGCUGGAGGAUGAAGCUGAGUAUCACUGUGCCCACAGUGAAGAGCUUCCAGUCACACAGUGAACACUGUUCAAAAACCUCUGUGUGUUUCUCAGGUUCACUGAUCACACAAUGAGAACCUGGUGUUAUGUUAGGUACUUUAUUACUACACUGUAAAAAGAGGCUCAUCAGAUCUACUUAAAUUUACUUCAUGUGGUUACAAGUAGAUUAACUAGUUUUAUUCAACCUAAAUAAAUACUUAUAAUUAAUUCUUUCAGUGUAUUUUUUUUAAGUUGAAUAAGACUAGUUCAAUUGCUUGCUACCACAUGAAGUAUUUUUUUUUACGUAGAUCUGACAAGACACUUUUUACAGUGUAUAUAUCAAAGGAGUUACCUAUAUUACUUAAACAAUUAUUUAAACACCGAAAAUAAUUAUUUAUCAUCAUUCUUUAUUUUUAGCCCAGGGCCUAAAGCCAACCAAUUCCCUCCUUCAUAAUAGCUUACUUCUAGUUAUAUCUAGUUAUAUCUAGCUUCUAGUCCCUAACUGAAGUAAGAAGCCCCCCUGGUGAAUAUUGCAUCUAGCAUUUAUAGAAAGUAUAAUUUUAAGUCCUUAAUUUAAUAUGACAAAUGACAGAAAAUAGAACCACUAGCAAUGUAAUUCUAUUCAUUAAUUAGUUAUUGUGAGUAUAUUAAUAGCAAAAAUAUAUGAUGUGUGUUCCUUUAAUGGUGGUGUUAUUAUUAUUGUUGUUGUUGUUGUUGUUGUUAUAGCAACAAUACUAAGAAUAACAAUUUAAGCAAUGGAAAUAGCAAUCAAAUUUAAUUGGCAAGUGAAAAUGAUUGCUAGGCAUGAUAGUUUAGAUCACUCUGUUAAGCUGCAAAACUCACUCAACUCAUCUCCACCAAGACGACUGAAUGUUGCCUAAUUCUAGCUAACAAUCCUGUUAAUGUUCGGGACUCAGGCGCAGCCUCAGUCUUUAAGUCUAUGCUAAAAACUUACUUGUAUAGU